UCAGCCCCGGACUUCUCCAGCCUGAACAUGAAGCUUCAAGAUGCCGUGCUAACACCAUCAGUGCACAGAAAAAAUCAUAGAGGAGCUGUAUCAGGCUAUGAUUUGCUGCACUCUAUAUCCCACUGCCAAGUUUUAUUCCAAGGUGGCCAGCCUACUUGUGUCUGAGCACAGUAACUUGGCCGACACUAAGGGCAGUGGCUAUGACUCUUGGGUUAUAGGCUUAAGGAACAAGUUCAAAAAUGAGCGGCGCAAGUUGUCUAACAACGAAGUGGUAGAACAA